UUAAAUGAUGACAAAGGGCCAUGAGGCCUGAAUAAUCCCAGCUCGUCGAGUACCUCGCAUUAAAUGCAGAGUGUGUUCUGAGAUAAGAAACCCGUUCUGAUCC
rfam:Botryotinia fuckeliana BcDW1 unplaced genomic scaffold Scaffold_396, whole genome shotgun sequence.